rnacentral:siRNA from 1 species
UUUCAUGCAAUCCAGGUGUUA